AACGAACGCUGGAGGCAGGCUUAACACAUGCAAGUCGAGCGCCCCGCAAGGGGAGCGGCAGACGGGUGAGUAACGCGUGGGAAUCUACCCAUCUCUACGGAAUAACGCAUGGAAACGUGUGCUAAUACCGUAUACGUCCUUCGGGAGAAAGAUUUAUCGGAGAUGGAUGAGCCCGCGUUGGAUUAGCUAGUUGGUGGGGUAAAGGCCUACCAAGGCGACGAUCCAUAGCUGGUCUGAGAGGAUGAUCAGCCACACUGGGACUGAGACACGGCCCAGACUCCUACGGGAGGCAGCAGUGGGGAAUAUUGGACAAUGGGCGCAAGCCUGAUCCAGCCAUGCCGCGUGAGUGAUGAAGGCCCUAGGGUUGUAAAGCUCUUUCACCGGUGAAGACAAUGACGGUAACCGGAGAAGAAGCCCCGGCUAACUUCGUGCCAGCCGCCGCAGUAAUAC
rnacentral:rRNA from 1 species